GUGGGGAAUCUUGCGCAAUGGGCGAAAGCCUGACGCAGCCAUGCCGCGUGAAUGAUGAAGGUCUUAGGAUUGUGAAAUUCUUUCACCGGGGACGAUAAUGACGGAACCCGGAGAAGAAGCUCCGGCUAACUUCGUGCCAGCAGCCGCGGUAAUACGAAGGGGGCUAGCGUUGCUCGGAAUUACUGGGCGUAAAGGGCGCGUAGGCGGACAGCUUAGUCAGAGGUGAAAGCCCAGGGCUCAACCUUGGAAUUGCCUUUGAUACUGGCUGUCUUGAGUUUGGGAGAGGUGAGUGGAACUCCGAGUGUAGAGGUGAAAUUCGUAGAUAUUCGGAAGAACACCAGUGGCGAAGGCGACUCACUGGCCCAAUACUGACGCUGAGGCGCGAAAGCGUGGGGAGCAAACAGGAUUAGAAACCCUAGUAGUCC
rnacentral:rRNA from 1 species